GCCAGACUCCUACGGGAGGCAGCAGUGGGGAAUAUUGCACAAUGGGGGGAACCCUGAUGCAGCGACGCCGCGUGGGUGAAGGAGUACUUCGGUACGUAAAGCCCUAUCAGCAGGAAAGAAAAUGACGGUACCUGACUAAGAAGCCCCGGCUAACUACGUGCCAGCAGCCGCGGUAAUACGUAGGGGGCAAGCGUUAUCCGGAUUUACUGGGUGUAAAGGGAGCGCAGACGGCAGUGCAAGUCUGGAGUGAAAGCCCGUGGCUUAACUACGGGACUGCUCUGGAAACUGUGCAGCUAGAGUGCAGGAGAGGCAGGCGGAAUUCCUAGUGUAGCGGUGAAAUGCGUAGAUAUUAGGAGGAACACCGGUGGCGAAGGCGGCCUGCUGGACUGUGACUGACGUUGAGGCUCGAAAGCGUGGGGAGCAAACAGGAUUAGAUACCCUUGUAGC
rnacentral:rRNA from 1 species